rnacentral:misc_RNA from 1 species
CUGGACUACACGGGUUUCUAAUCCUGUUUGCUACCCAUGCUUUCGCUCCUCAGCGUCAGUACCGGCCCAGAGUGCUGCCUUCGCAAUAGGUGUUCCUCCUAAUAUCUGCGCAUUUCACCGCUACACUAGGAAUUCCACACUCCUCUACCGGACUCAAGUCAACGCAGUAUCGGAUGGCGUCUCGAAGUUGAGCCUCGAGUUUUCACAUCCGACUUACGUAACCGCCUACGAGCCCUUUACGCCCAAUAAAUCCGGACAACGCUCGCCCCCUACGUCUUACCGCGGCUGCUGGCACGUAGUUGGCCGGAGCUUCUUCUGUAGGUACCGUCAUUUUCGUCCCUACUGAAAGGGGUUUACGACCCUAGGGCCUUCAUCCCCCACGCGGCGUCGCUGCAUCAGG